ACAGGUGACACAGGUGAUGAGUGUAACCAUCAUCUUCCUCAGAGACUUCUGGGCUGAAAAGAAUUUAAUUUCCAUGGCCAAACAUUAUUGUAUGCUGUGGCCCUGGCUAGGAGUACAAAUGAAAUGGGGAUAGUGAUCAUUUUGGGUGUUCUGUUCUGUCAGUCCGGCUGAGAUCCACCCAAUUUUCUUCUUCAGCUCUGGGACCACCCGCACCAGGCAGAUGAAAUUCUUCACACGCUGUGUCUGUAACUGAGUAGUUCUGCUAAUCACUUCCCCCAGACUGGAUAUUUUGGUGAAUUAGAUAUUUUACAAGGAAUACUGACUUCAUCUCUUCCCUUGAUCCUGUGUCAUGGUUUGACACUGGCCAAACAUCAGGCACUCAGGGGUCUUGCACCUGGAAAAAGCUGUUGAUCACUGUGAACACCUUGGCUGGUCUCAUCUCGCUGUGCCCUUCCCCAGCUGAAGAGAGCAGCCUCUUCUGGAAAAGCUUCACAGAAGUGAGCUGAGCAAGUCCUGCCGUGACUCACAGGGAGUUUGUCAUUCCCCAGGCUGUGAGGCACAGUGGAAACAAGAACAGAGGGCUCCUAAAGGUGCUGAAAGGCCCCUGCUCUGUGAAGAGAGCCAGGAAACAACAGUCACAUCAAGUGUUAUCAGGGGCCAAAGCAGCGGUGUCAGAGGGAAGGAGAGCACAAACAGCCUGUGUGUGCUGCUGCAUCUGCACCAGGGUGAUUUCCAUGGUCACACAGACAGGUCAAGAGAUGUGUCUGCACUUUUUGUUCCAGGCAGCCUCCAGAGUCCCUCAGCCUCUGGAGAGAAGAGGGAAAAUGAUGUAGGGGGGGGAAAGAAAAGGGAACAGCGGAACAGUGCUUGGAAUCACACUAACCAGAAAGGAUUCUUUUAACAUUGUGCUGGUCAAUGAAGUGAAAUGACUGGCUUACCACAGUGCUAUGAAUUUGUAUGUUUAAAAUCAUAACUCAUUUUGUAAUCUCCUUCCUUCCACAGAAGUGCCAUUUGUCAGAAUACAAAAAAAUUCCAAGUGCAGUUCAGGUUCCAUUUCACUCUGAGGUCAUUUCCAGUCAGCAUUCAUUUGGGGGCUGAGUUUAUCAGAAGUUUUCCCAAAUAGCGUGGCUAUUCCCACAUAAAUAUCUACUUCCUGAAACCAACAUGUUUGGCAGAGAAAAAAAAAAAAGAAAAGAAAGCACAUUUCCCUGAAAAUUCAGUUCUAGGAGGAGCCUGGACCAACAAAUGGCACAGUUAUAAUAUUGUUCUUCCAUUACAAUUGCCUCAGAAUCAUUACUCUUGUAUUUCCUCCUCAGCUGAUUAGUCCCUCAGCUCAAUUGCUUUGAAACAAAUAAAAUACCAUCUAUUUGUGUUUUUGCUUCUGUGGGGAAAAAUCUGCUUAUUGUGGUAAACUAAAUAGAUUGGUUUUGUCUGUGCCGGGUUUUGUUUUAAAGAAUGGAAUCAUUUUGCUGGAACUGAAAUUCGGAUUUUUCAGGCUCUCUAAUGAAAUUCUUCCACUGUGUGUUGAUUUGGGAAACAGUCUGGACAGCUGAUAUGAAAUAGCUCUGGAAGCUUUAACUGAGGUUUGGAAUCACAGAAUCCCAGAAUGGUUUGGGUUGGAAGAGAUAUUAAAGCUCAUCUUGUUCCACCCCCUGCCAUGGGCAGGGACAUCUUCCACUGUCCCAGGCUGCUCCAAGCCCAUCCAACCCGGCCUUGGGCACUGCCAGGGAUCCAGGGGCAGCCACAGCUUCUCUGGGCACCCUGUGCCAGGGCCUCAACACCCUCACAGGAGAGAAUUUCUCCCUAAUGCCAAAUCUUAGCCCACUCUGUUCAUUUUGCCCCUUGUCCUGGCACUCCAGACCCCUGUAAAUCUUCUCUUUCCAUCUUUCCUGUUGCCCCUCCAGGCCCUGCCAGGCCACACCGAGGUCACCCCAAAGCUUCUCCUCUCCAGGUGAACACUCCCAGCUGUCCCAACCUUUCCUCCCAGCAGAGCUGCUCCAUCCCUCUGAUCCCCCUGGAGCCUCCUCUGGAUCUCUCCAGCAGCUCCAGCUCCUCCCUGUGCUCCAACUACGACCAUUCCAGAAAUGCUGUAUAAAAUGAUGUUUAGUCCUUGCCCUCUUUUC